UGCCCGGUCGUCUAAUGGUAGGACUGCGGACUCUGAAUCCGUAUAUCUAGGUUCGAAUCCUAGCUGGGCAA
rnacentral:tRNA from 1 species